rnacentral:rRNA from 1 species
GACGUAGGGGACGAGCGUUGUCCGGAUUCAUUGGGCGUAAAGCGCGCGUAGGCGGUUACGCAAGUCGGUUGUGAAAUUUCGGGGCUCAACCCCGAACUUGCAGUGGGUACGGGCAGACUAGAGUGUGGUAGGGGAGACUGGAAUUCCUGGUGUAGCGGUGAAAUGCGCAGAUAUCAGGAGGAACACCGAUGGCGAAGGCAGGUCUCUGGGCCAUAACUGACGCUGAGAAGCGAAAGCAUGGGGAGCGAACAGG